GCAUUCAUAGUUCAGCGGUAGAAUUCCCGCUUCCCAAGCGGGAGGCCCGGGUUCGACUCCCGGUGAAUGCA